rnacentral:rRNA from 1 species
GUCCACGCCGUAAACGAUGAGCACUAGGUGUCGCGGGUAUUGACCCCUGCGGUGCCGACGCUAACGCAUUAAGUGCUCCGCCUGGGGACUACGGCCGCAAGGUUAAAACUCAAAGGAAUUGACGGGGGCCCGCACAAGCGGUGGAGCAUGUGGUUCAAUUCGACGCAACGCGAAGAACCUUACCUGGGCUAGACAACGGAGGCCCGCCCCAGAGAUGGGGCCUUCCCUUCGGGGACUUCCGGUUCAGGUGCUGCAUGGCUGUCGU